rnacentral:rRNA from 1 species
CGAACGCUGGCGGCAGGCUUCAUACAUGCAAGUCGAACGAUUAAAGCUCCCUUCGGGGAGUGUAUAAAGUGGCGAACGGGUGAGUAACAGGUGGAUAAUCUACCUCUUGGAGGGGGAUAACGGCUGGAAACGGCCGCUAAUACCGCGUAUGUUUGUGAAGUCUUCGGGCUUUACAAAGAAAGGGGCCUUCAAGCCCCGCCAAGAGAUGAGUCCGCCCCCCAUUAGCUAGUUGGUGAGAUAAUAGCUCACCAAGGCAACGAUGGGUAGCCGAGCUGAGAGGUUGAUCGGCCACACUGGGACUGAGACACGGCCCAGACACCUACGGGUGGCAGCAGUAGGGAAUAUUGGACAAUGGGCGAAAGCUUGAUCCAGCCAUGCCGCGUGGAUGAUGAAGGCCUUCGGGUCGUAAAAUCCUUUUCUGAGGGAAGAACAGCCAGUUGAGGAAAUGCUUCUGGUUUGACGGUACCUCAGGAAUAAGCAACGGCCAACUCC